AUCCUCUCCGAGUCGCAUCUGGAGAGUUUCCACUACUCUACCAGUCUCGACUUAGAGAGGGAGAGUUAAGCAGAGGCAUAUCCAUUCCAUUCCUAAAUUGGGAAGUGGCUAGUGAGUGGAAGGUCAUCUGCUCCAAGU